rnacentral:misc_RNA from 1 species
UUGUUUUUGAGACUGCAGUCACUCAAUUACAAAGUACCAAAAGGGGUAAACACACUGGAAAAAUGCAAGAACCAAACAAGUCAAGGCAAGCAUCCUCUCUAUUGCCAGUUAAAACAUGAAAGAUAUUUUGUGUAUAUGUUAUUACACAAACACAAACAAGAAAAAUCUUAAUCAGUGCCCACUCGGGCAUUCAAUGCAAAGGACACAGCAAAAAGUAAUGCACUUGGA